rnacentral:misc_RNA from 1 species
GUGAAUCAUCAAAUCUUUGAACGCAAAUGGCGCUCUCCUCGGAUAGAAUGACUGUUUGAGGGUCAUCCUAUGAAAAUCAACAUCGUUGCUGUUUCGCGGUGGCGUUCGUCGGAAAUUGGGUCAUCUUAAAUCCUUUUGAUUUAAUCGACUUAGAAUUUUCUUUUGGUUCCAUGAACAUUUCUAGUAUCUAUUUCUUUACACGUUUAAGGUAUCUGUUUUUACUAGACGUGACCAUCAUAUCGGAUCGCAUACAUAAUCUUUCGUUAACUGACCUCAUACAGGUGAGG